rnacentral:rRNA from 1 species
GAUGAACGCUGGCGGCGUGCCUAAUACAUGCAAGUCGAGCGAACAGACGAUGAUCUUGCUCCUCUGACGUUAGCGGCGGACGGGUGAGUAACACGUGGAUAACCUACCUAUAAGACUUGGAUAACUUCGGGAAACCGGAGCUAAUACCGGAUAAUAUAUUGAACCGCAUGGUUCAAUAGUGAAAGACGGUUUUGCUGUCACUUAUAGACGGAUCCGCGCCGCAUUAGCUAGUUGGUAAGGUAACGGCUUACCAAGGCAACGAUGCGUAGCCGACCUGAGAGGGUGAUCGGCCACACUGGAACUGAGGCAAGGUCCAGACUCCUACGGGAGGCAGCAGUAGGGAAUCUUCCGCAAUGGGCGAAAGCCUGACGGAGCAACGCCGCGGGAGUGAUGAAGGUCUUCGGAUCGUAAAACUCUGUUAUUAGGGAAGAACAAAUGUGUAAGUAACUAUGCACGUCUUGACGGUACCUAAUCAGAAAGCCACGGCUAACUACGUG